CACCCUUUAAUGUUUGAUGUUCUAACGUGGACCCGUGAUCCGGGUUGCGGACAGUGUCUGGUGGGUAGUUUGACUGGGGCGGUCUCCUCCUAAAGAGUAACGGAGGAGCACGAAGGUUGGCUAAUCCUGGUCGGACAUCAGGAGGUUAGUGCAAUGGCAUAAGCCAGCUUGACUGCGAGCGUGACGGCGCGAGCAGGUGCGAAAGCAGGUCAUAGUGAUCCGGUGGUUCUGAAUGGAAGGGCCAUCGCUCAACGGAUAAAAGGUACUCCGGGGAUAACAGGCUGAUACCGCCCAAGAGUUCAUAUCGACGGCGGUGUUUGGCACCUCGAUGUCGGCUCAUCACAUCCUGGGGCUGAAGUAGGUCCCAAGGGUAUGGCUGUUCGCCAUUUAAAGUGGUACGCGAGCUGGGUUUAGAACGUCGUGAGACAGUUCGGUCCCUAUCUGCCGUGGGCGCUGGAGAACUGAGGGGGGCUGCUCCUAGUACGAGAGGACCGGAGUGGACGCAUCACUGGUGUUCGGGUUGUCAUGCCAAUGGCACUGCCCGGUAGCUAAAUGCGGAAGAGAUAAGUGCUGAAAGCAUCUAAGCACGAAACUUGCCCCGAGAUGAGUUCUCCCUGAGACUUUAAGUCUCCUGAAGGAACGUUGAAGACGACGACGUUGAUAGGCCGGGUGUGUAAGCGCAGCGAUGCGUUGAGCUAACCGGUACUAAUGAACCGUGAGGCUUAACCUUACAA
rnacentral:rRNA from 1 species